UCUCCCACGAGUGUCCUGUAGCUCAGUGGUAGAGCAUCCGACCGCUGUGCGGAAGAUCAUAGGUUCGACUCCUGUUGGGAGAA
rnacentral:tRNA from 1 species